rnacentral:rRNA from 1 species
AGAAUCAACGCUGGCGGCGUGCCUCAGACAUGCAAGUCGAACGCGAAAGUUCCCUUCGGGGAGCGAGUAGAGUGGCGCACGGGUGAGUAACACGUAGGUAAUCUACCUUUGGGUGGGGAAUAACAGCCGGAAACGGCUGCUAAUACCGCAUAAUGCAGCGGCUCGACAUCGAGACAGUUGUUAAAGCGGGGGAUCGCAAGACCUCGCGCCUAAAGAGGAGCCUGCGGCGGAUUAGCUUGUUGGUGAGGUAAUGGCUCACCAAGGCUUCGAUCCGUAGCCGGCCUGAGAGGGCGGUCGGCCACACUGACACUGACAUACGGGUCAGACUCCUACGGGAGGCAGCAGUCGGGAAUUUUGGGCAAUGGGCGCAAGCCUGACCCAGCAACGCCGCGUGAAGGAUGAAAUCCCUCGGAUGUAAACUUCGCAAGAACAGGAAGAAUAAGUGGGAACAAUACCCCCCAUGAUGACGGUACUGUUGUAAGCGUCCGGCUAACUCCGUGCUACG